CAGAGGGAGGGACUGAAAGGGGCACAAGGACUCUUUUGGGGUGAUGGAUCUAAUUGUGGAGACGGUUUGUCACAGCCAGGACACAGAGCCUGACACUUAACAGCCACUGACCACACCCCAAAAUUAUCCCCAAAAUUACCAGUGAUGGACAUGGGGUCUGGCCUAACCCUUUCCUGAAACCUCCGGCCGGGUGCAGACCCAGGCCCCCCAGAAGCCUGGAAUGGGCUUCGGUGACCACCAGGCCCAUGGCCCCACUUCUCCCGUGGACAGCCAGUCUCGGGGGCCACGUCCUGUGCAGAUCUGAGUGCCAGGGAGAGGACAGACCUGUCUCCUGUGACCUCAGCCAAGGCAGGUGGGCCUCUUCUCAAAAGAGCCUGGGGCCAUGCUGGGCUGGUGGAGGCCUCAGCCUCCAGAGGGCUCCAAGGAGGCCAGUUCCAGGAAUGCUGCAGCCUGAGGGUCCCCUAGGUCCCUGAGCUGGAAGGCGCCAGCCUGUCUGGUGUCUGGGGUUUCACAGAAGGGAAUUCUAGAAAUGGUCUCAGGCUGUCGGAGCUAGAGGAGGAAGCUCCGGGAGGCGAGAGGAGAUGAAACAGGUCUCCAGGGCCCAGGAGGGUGAGGCCCCCAAGGCGGGUGGAAGGACGUCUUGAUUUUCUCUCUGAUGCUGGAGGUGGGGGAGGCUGUGAUGCGGGUGUGGGGUGAGAGGUGGCCUGCUCUAGGUGAGCCAGGUGGGGAGGGGACGGAGGCUGGCCCGGGAGAGGCCUAGGGGCUGAGGAAGACUGCAGGGCCCUGCUGGGUGAGGUGGUUGAGUGGUGGCCCUGGAGAAGAUAUGUCCCCGUCCUAACCCCCAGAGCCAGCGAAUGGGGGCUCAUUUGGGAAGAGGGUGUUUGUGUCAUCAAGUUAAGGAUCUGGGACGAGAUCAUCUUGGAGUGCUCGGGCGAGCCCCAACGCCUGGUACAAGCGUCUUUGUAAGAGAUGCACAGCGGAGAAGCCCACAUCACCACGGAGGCAGAGGUGGGAGUGCUGCAGCCACAGGCCACGACGCCUGGCACCCCCAGGAGCUGGCAGAGGCACGGAACGACCUGCCCCGCAGGCUCCGCCGGGAGCGUGGCCCUGACAACCCUGGGUUUCAGACUUCUGGCCCCAGACGCAGCUCUCUGAGGGAUUGUCCCCGUUUGACAGUGAGGAGGUGAAGGCUUGGGGUCCGUCACCACCUGGGGUCAGUUGCCCAGCGUUAUUUUAAUGGUUUGGUGGUCGCUGCAGAAAUAGUAUACGUUUGUUCCAUCAGUUUGAAGCAGACACCAGUGCCUAAGGAUGAAUGGUCGUCUCUGGAAUCCCACCGCAUCAAGUCGACCUGAGCCCCAUCUGGGUAAUCAUUUGGCAGGCUGGGAACUGAUUGCAGCGCUCAUCUGUGACCUCCCGGCUCGAGGCAACACACCUGCCACUCUGCGGCGUUCACUGAGAUGGCAGACCUAUCUGUCGUUUCCAUCAAUCGCUGUGCUGACGGAGCAGCCUCGUGACUAUUGUGGGAGGGACAUUUCAAUCAUAUGUGAAACACCCUCUUUGAGGGUAUGUAACCACACUGUGUACCCCACUUGUUUGGAGUGCUCUGUUCCUUUGUGGAAAGACUCUCCAGGGUUAUAAUCCUCAGAUUUAAGCUCAGAAUAAACUC